UACGGAAUGUGCAAACGUUAUUCGGAAUCACUGGGCUUAAAGAGUCCGUAGGCGGCUUGUUAGGUGAGGUGUGAAAUCCCCCGGCUCAACCGAGGAAUUGCGCUUCAAACCGGCAAGCUCGAGGAGGAUAGAGGUGGGCGGAACUGAUGGUGGAGCGGUGAAAUGCGUUGAUAUCAUCAGGAACACCGGAGGCGAAAGCGGUCCACUGGGUCCUUCCUGACGCUGAGGGACGAAAGCUAGGGGAGCGAACGGG
rnacentral:rRNA from 1 species